AACGAACGCUGGCGGCAGGCUUAACACAUGCAAGUCGAACGCAUCCUUCGGGGUGAGUGGCAGACGGUGGAGUAACCCGUGGGAACGUGCCCUUCAGUUCGGGAUAACCCAGGGAAACUUGGGCUAAUACCGGAUACGUGCGAGAGCAGAAAGAUUUAUCGCUGAAGGAUCGGCCCGCGUCUGAUUAGCUAGUUGGUGAGGUAACGCCUCACUAAGGCAACGAUGCGUAGCCGACCUGAGAGGGUGACCGGCCACACUGGGACUGAGACACGGCCCAGACUCCUACGGGAGGCAGCAGUGGGGAAUAUUGGACAAUGGGCGCAAGCCUGAUCCAGCCAUGCCGCGUGAGUGAUGAAGGCCUUAGGGUUGUAAAGCUCUUUCGUCCGGGACGAUAAUGACGGUACCGGAAGAAUAAGCACCGGCUAACUAUGUGCCAGCCGCCGCCGUAA
rnacentral:rRNA from 1 species